rnacentral:rRNA from 1 species
CAGCAGCCACGGGAAUACGGAGGGUGCAAGCGUUAUCCGGAUUUAUUGGGUUUAAAGGGUCCGUAGGCGGAUCUGUAAGUCAGUGGUGAAAUCUCACAGCUUAACUGUGAAACUGCCAUUGAUACUGCAGGUCUUGAGUAAAUUUGAAGUGGCUGGAAUAAGUAGUGUAGCGGUGAAAUGCAUAGAUAUUACUUAGAACACCAAUUGCGAAGGCAGGUCACUAAGAUUUAACUGACGCUGAUGGACGAAAGCGUGGGGAGCGAACAGGAUUAGAUACCACCGUAGUCCCUGUCUCUUUACA